rnacentral:lncRNA from 1 species
CUUUCUCGUAAGAGAAAAACGUAAAAUCCUCUUUCCUUUUUAGGUCUUUUUCCUUUUCUUCUUGCUUAAGAUAGAGCAGACAGAAAAGAUUUUUAAUCAUUGGUUAAUCUCUAUCCAUUUAUUCUUUUAUCUUUCAUUUUUGAACAUUCCCCUUAUCCACUGGGUGUUGAGAAUCUUCGUCAACCUCCUUCACGAUCGUGCUCGCAGAAUGAGGAAUUCCGGUCGUACCUUGGGGUGUUAUUUCCGAAUGACGUCAUCCUUUUUUUUAUGAAAUUAAUGAUAAAAGAUAAAACAGGAAAUAUUAUAGUUACUGACCCAGUUUUCAACGUACUAUUCAGCUCGGGGUAGAUAAAAAUAGUAAUUAUAAUUUUUUAAUAUUUGAGACUAAAGAUUUAUAAAUGUUAUCGACACCCUAAGGUGGGUGUACUUAGAAUUGUUGUCUCACUUUAGGUUCGUAGGGGACAAAAAAAAAAUUGGGGUUUUUUACUCUUAAGGUGUUUUUUAUCUAUUAUUUCUUACUUUGUCGUCCCUUGAACUCCCUUUGUUUAAUCUUUAACGGUUUUCGUACUGUCCUAUUACAGUUUUUAAUCGUGGUUUUAAUGUUGUAUUUUAGUUGACUGGACGAGACGUAGAAAGGUAAACUGAAUUAGAACAUUCUAGUAGAGUUGACUCCGGACUCUGUUGAUUGACAUUGUCAAAGGUUUGAUUAUUAUUUUGACCGUAUUUUUCGUAUCAACUUAAAGGCUUCGACACUAAUGUUUAAUGAAGUAAAGGACGCCUAGAAUUAUAAGUUUCAGGUAACUUCGGAAGGGAGACCAGCGCCUUAUAGGAAGCCGUUUGCCUCGCCGUGGAGCAUGAGAGGGUCGCUGCAGUCGCCGCUGCCAUCCACCUCCAAUAGACCCACCUAUAACUAUGUUUCAACGGAUCGGUGGACACACACACACAUACGCUCUCUCUCUCUCUCUCUCUCUCUCUCUCUCUCUAAUCGUUUUCCUCUUUUCUCUCAAAGUUGAGAUCUGUUUAAACACGUCUUUUAUUUUAAUCGUCUCACUUCAAAGUGUCUUUUCCGUAAUCUAAACUUCUUCGUACUUUGUCUACGUUGUUUGUCUCCGGAUUCUAUUUAUAAAAUCAGGUCCAAGUCGUUGCUUUUUGUAUGACUCUACAAACUAGCGAGUUUUCUCAAUAGUCACCAAAUGUUCUUGUAUGGUAGCGUUUCUUUUAGGUACUUAAUAAAAGAAAAGUCUACCCUAAUUUUCUUUUAAAUCUUUUUACCAACCUUUAUCUUUUCAUGGAGGAGCUGUUAAAGUAGGAAACAGUGGCCACUUGCGUUAAGCAAUAGUUGGAACUACUUGGAGGAGUUUUGGAUACCACUAUAAAAUGUCCUCAAUGUCAGUAUCGGUAUACAUAUCUUCGGCCAUCAUGUAGUUCUGUUAUAAAGUUUCAAACUAGUCGUUUACUUUGUCAUCCUUAAGGUGCGUAAUGCUAAAAAAGUAACAGGAAACAUCCUCUCAUUUAUAUUUUUAAUAGUAGCAGGUAUCCAACUAACCUUCGUAGUAAUAUGUAUGUAUAUAUAUAUAUAUAUAUAUAUAUAUACGUUGAACCUUUGACAAUAAAAUCAAAGGCAAGUUUCUAAUUUUACUACCAUUUUAGUUAAUCGUGACAACUCUAUCUUUUUUAUAGUGUAAAUGGUCUUUGUCUUACAAGGAGAAUGUUUAAUAGUAUAUAGUUUUCUCUUGUACUUUUCAUCUGUCUUAUAUAAUCUUUUCCACGGUCAAAAGUUUACGUAUCAUGUCUUUGAACUUGGGAGAGGGACCAUUAGAACUGUAAUAUAUCGUAAUAUAUGAUUAACUCUAAGAGAUAAGGUAAAAGUAACGGUUUUUGGCUUUGGUAUUAUAAGGGCGAAAACAAUUUGUUUGGUGAUCUUCUUAGUUCUUUUCUUUUAGCGGUUUCAAUCGACUUAUUUCUAUUUUUGAGUUAGAUGACAAAAACUUUAGGAGGUUAGAUGCUUUCUUAUAUAUCUCAAAGCGUUAAGUCUCUUUACCUUUUUAGAAGUUGAUUUAUACUUGACAAUUGCCGUGGCAUAUAGUUUCUUCUUAGUUAACGUACGGUUCGUUUUAGUUCAUUAAUUGUGGUAAAGAAAUAACUUUACUACGAUCGUUUGUAAGUGUUAUUUAUAAGACAUCUGACUUUGUAUUACGUAGUCUUUUCAUGUGUUGAUGGUUUAAAAAUGAGUGGUUCUCCCGUAAUAGUUCUGCGAAACGACGGUAGACUAUAAGAAAGUAAAAUUCAAGGACAACGACAAAGUCUGUUUAUUUUUCGUGUAAUCUUAAACUGAUCGAUGUUAUCUCAUACUUAUGUAGGUUAUUUACAUUCUUUUUACGUUAUCAUUCGUGCGUACUACAUUUAGCAUGUUAUGCGAUUUAAUCAAAACGUGUCCCUAUGAAGUCAAGGAACCGUAAAUGCAUUAAAUCCGUUUAUGUUUAUAAUUUCUAGAGAAGUUUAUACAUGAGGCACGACGGUGGUUCCAGUAACCAUUAUCGAAUUAAGAGGAUUUGAACUGUAAAAGAGUUUAGGUGGGUGAUUACUCAUGUCCUUGUUGUGACAUUGAAUGUAAAACUUUGGUGUGGGAUUCCGGGUUUCUGGUCGAUUAGAUGAAAAGACGUUAAACGGGUCCCAAGUUGGUAUAAAACUUGGAGAUUUCCUGAAGUUAAGUAUGAGUCUACUUACACGUCUCAUAAAUUCUCUCGUUACGGUGGUUGUCUAUUUUGUUAUCUUGUUUUGUAAAAUCUAUUUUAUCUAGAAAGAAUGAAUUCAUGAAUUGAUCGAGUAGUGGAUAAAAAACAAGUUAGUUUGUGAAGGCAAAAAUGCAUGAUGUAACAGAGGAAGUUGAGGAGGAAUGAAAGGGACGAAUAAAAUGUAGAUUUGAAUUAGGUGAGAAUUGUUUUAAUUAACAAUAUGGUUAAAACCACAUAUACUGGAAUCAUAAAACCUAACCAUUUUAAGGAUACAUGAAAUUAGGAUCUGGUCUAUCGUCACUAAGACCGUAAUGUAAUUCGUAAAGUUUCUAGUCAGCCUCCUGAACAAAUGUCAUUCAGAAGAUGUAACAGUUCAACUAUAUAGUGAAAGGUUUCUUUCCCGUCAUCAGGCUGUGUACUAGUAAGACUAUGGAUACAAACAAACGUACUAUUAUAAUAUGGAGAUAAGUAUGGAGAUGAGUAUGGAGGUAUGAAGAUAAAUGAAGCUAACUCUUAUACGUUUAAAAACUUCAUACCAAUUUACCGUAAAGGUAAAAUACAAUAAGGUACAGGACACUCGAUCCUUUCACUCGUUGUUUUCUUUCCUUUGUACUAGUUUAAUAUCACGUUGAGAGUACCUCCAUCUCUUCUCAUAAGGAAGGUAGAGUUUGACCUUGUAGUGAUUGAGAGUACCUUUUAAUCUACAUCUUUUCUCUUAAGGAAGAUCUUUGUUCAAUACAUGAUGGCGUUGUUUUGUAUAUUAGGGUCUAAUGUCUUUAUAACCAUUAAUUUUGUUGUUUAACAUUAUUUAUAGGAGUAUUUUUUUAUAUAUAGACAGUGACUACGUGAUGUAUUCGAGAGGAGGCUAGUAUAGAUGUACGUAAUAAGGUAUUCUCAGUUUUAUCUUCUCUUUUCUUUCUACACAUUGUACAACCUUGUUUAUGGCGUCGCUUUUAGACUAACACUAAUUUUAGAUUGAUUGAAACACUAUUUUUAUUUUUGUUUGUUUGUAUGUCUAUUUGCGUUUAUUUAGUUGAGUGUCUAUUAGCGAUUUAGGGUUUUAACACCUUUUCCUUAUAGUUGUAUAAUUAGGCCUUCGCACGCUCCGUGACGGGAUUCCGCAUAAGGGCAGGAAUGCACGCCUUAAUUGNAUUGUGAUUAAAUCUGACGGUGCUAAUCUAUUAAAAUAUAUACAUAUAUAUUUUUGCAUAUAAUUCUGUUUGACAACUUGCUUGUAUGCUUGUCAUUCAAAUUUAAAUAAAUUGGGAUUAGCAUUUUUAAUUUCUAAUUGGAUAUUGUUUAUCUGCAAAUUAUUUUUUUUAUUGUUAUUAUUUUUACCGUACGGAUUCAAAAGGGUGGAUUUUUUUUUGCGACAGUAAAUAACAUUUUAUUUAUGUACGGUUUGAGUUUUGCUAUUGAAAAUUCCUUAAAAUUUUUUUGUUAAAAAAAAAGGGAUUUGCUACAGUGAUUUUUUUAAAGUGUACGGUUUUUUUAAAAAUUGUUACAGUAAUUAUUUUUAGCUUUCCUGUGUGUACGGGUUUUAGUUUUGCUACAGUAAAACCCAUUGCUAAUUAAAAAAAAAUUGCUACAGUACUUUCUUUUCCACUGUUGAGAUUUAUUAAAACUUAUUUUCAAAUAGAUUUUAAAACUUAAUUUUAGAGAUAUAAAUAUACUAUUUUUCGAAAAAAAAAAAGGGAAGGAAAAAUAUUUUGUUCCAAGGGAGAUUUGAUUUCACAGUAUCUAACCUGCAACACUAUUUCUAAAUUUUAUUUUUUCUAUUAUUUCAGCAAUUUUUAAAAUCUAUUUGCUGCAUAGAUAUUAUUUGAUUGCAUAUGUUAUUUGCUCGAAAUUACCUAAUUGAAAUCAAUUUUGUUUUAAAAAAAAUUGUUUGGUCCGUCUUUUGCUGUUGAAUCAAACUCUAUUCAACAUGAUUAAAUUUCAUGAUUUUUAAAUUUUAGUAUAUCUCUGAAAUUGUGGGGGAGCGUCUUUAUCAGUUUGAUAAAUUUUGAUAUUAUAAUUGCUCUCAUGUUUUCAUUUUGUCUAUCAUUGUGUUUAACUUGUAAAUAAAAUUUAUAAAUUCUAAAGUUAACAUUUAUAUUAUAUUGAGAUAGAAAUCUGUUAGAUGGUUAAUUAUCUAUCAUAUUAUUUAUUUGAGUUUUGUCAGAUUUGACUAGAAUCUUGCAGAUUACCAGAUUGAAGGCCUAAAGAGGACUAUGGUCCUGUAGUCAUCGAGGGGGAUGGGACUUUGCCCGUAAAGGGCCUUCCUGCAGUGGGAACCCAACCUUUGUGAUAGGAGAUCCCUUGAAGAAGGUUCAAUGUGGUAAAAACAAGCUGUCAGGUUGGCCAAGAGCACUUUCUACAAAUUUUAUAAAGGAGCUUUAGCUCCAAUCCCAUCCCUAUGGUGAGUAGUGCUCUGUGUAGUGGAUCAGGUUGAGCUGAGAGCUCUUAAUGGGAUCCAAGGCGAUAAUUUUCGCGAGAUGUGACUCUACACACAUCCCUGGAGGAAACCACCUAUAUAAGAGUAUCCGUAUGUGGCCGCGGCUAUGUGAUAUGGGCUAUCCAUAGAAACUCUUAUGAAAAAUCAAGGUACUGUGCAUGGCCAUUAACGCACAGACCCGCGACGGAGAAUUCUGUACUGUGUGUGUGGUGGUUGAAGUCAGGGUCAAAGGAACGUAGUUCAAGACCUGGUUCACUCCGAUUCCUUCUGAUGGAAAUCACUUACACUAAGUGGGGUUAAGUCUCUUAAAGACACCUCACCCAUUGCAUAGUAUAAAACACCCAGUAAAUUUGAUUUUAAUUCGUAAUUUUAAAAUUUUGAGUUUUGUGGGGGAUUGUUGGUGAAAAACUCAAAAUUUUGAGUUUGAAUUUAUUUUAUUUGAACUUUAAAUUAUUUAUUAUUUAUUAUUUAUGAUUCUAUUUAUUUACUACUUUAUUUAUUUUAUUUUAUUUAAUUAUUUUAGUAUCUUUCUUAAUGAGAAAGAAACUAACGGAAUUUUUUUCCGUUCCGUUUCUUCCGUGUUACGUUGGGCGGGUUCCGCUUCUUUCUCGUAAGAGAAAAACGUAAAAUCCUCUUUCCUUUUUAGGUCUUUUUCCUUUUCUUCUUGCUUAAGAUAGAGCAGACAGAAAAGAUUUUUAAUCAUUGGUUAAUCUCUAUCCAUUUAUUCUUUUAUCUUUCAUUUUUGAACAUUCCCCUUAUCCACUGGGUGUUGAGAAUCUUCGUCAACCUCCUUCACGAUCGUGCUCGCAGAAUGAGGAAUUCCGGUCGUACCUUGGGGUGUUAUUUCCGGUUAAUCCCGCACGUAAGGACGGGAAUACGCCUUAGGGCAGUGCCUCGCACGCUUUCGGAUUAAUAUAUUGAUAUUCUUUUUCCACAAUUUUGAAAUUUAGCGAUUAUCUGUGAGUUGAUUUAUUUGCAUUUAUCUGUAUGUUUGUUUAUUUUUAUUUUUAUCACAAAGUUAGUUAGGUUUUAAUUGCAACCGGAUUCCUAUGCGAUAUUUGUU